ACUUUACAAUGCGAGAAAUCGUGAUAAGGGAACCCCGAGUGCCCGUAAAUUCGGGCUGUCCAUCAGUGUAAAUAACUGGUGAAGAAAGGGCCGGGCAAGACCGGUGCCAGCCGCCGCGGUAAUACCGGCGGCUCGAGUGGUGGCCACUAUUACUGGGCUUAAAGCGUCCGUAGCUGGAUUGUUAAGUCUCUUGGGGAAUCCGCCGGCUUAACCGGCGGGCGUUCAGGAGAAACUGGCAAUCUAGGGACCGGGAGAGGUGAGAGGUACUCCAGGGGUAGGAGUGAAAUCCUGUAAUCCUUGGGGGACCACCUGUGGCGAAGGCGUCUCACUAGAACGGCUCCGACAGUGAGGGACGAAAGCUGGGGGAGCAAACCGG
rnacentral:rRNA from 1 species